rnacentral:rRNA from 1 species
AUUGAACGCUGGCGGCAUGCCUAACACAUGCAAGUCGAACGGUAACAGGCCCUUCGGGUGCUGACGAGUGGCGGAUGGGUGAGUAAUACUUAGGAAUCUACCCUGUAGUGGGGGACGAACCCGGGGAAACUCGGGCUAAUACCGCAUACGCUCUACGGAGGAAAGCGGGGACCGGCAAGGCCUCGCGCUAUUGGAUGAGCCUAAGCCCGAUUAGCUAGUUGGUGGGGUAAUAGCCUACCAAGGCAAUGAUCGGUAGCUGGUCUGAGAGGACGACCAGCCACACUGGGACUGAGACACGGCCCAGACUCCUACGGGAGGCAGCAGUGGGGAAUAUUGGACAAUGGGCGAAAGCCUGAUCCAGCGAUGCCGCGUGUGUGAAGAA